GACGAACGCUGGCGGUGUGCUUAACACAUGCAAGUCGAACGGUAAGGCCCUUUCGGGGGUACACGCGUGGCGAACGGGUGAGUAACACGUGAGUAACCUGCCCUCAUCUCAGGGAUAACAGUCGGAAACGGUUGCUAAUACUGGAUAUGAGCUUGCAGGGCAGCUUGUGGGUUGGAAAGAUUUUUUUGGUUGGGGAUGGACUGGCGGCCUAUCAGCUUGUUGGUGCGGUAGUGGCUCACCAAGGCUUCGCCGGGUAGCCGGCCUGAGAGGGCGAACGGCGACACUGGGACCGAGAGACGGCCCAAGCGCCUAAGGGAGGACGAAGUGCGGAAUAUUGAACAAUGGACGGAGGUCGGAUGCAGCAGGGCCGCGUGCGGGAUGACGGCCUUCGGGUGGUAAAACGCUUUCAAGUGUGAAGAAGCUUUUUGUGACGGUACCAGUAGAAGAAGCACCGGCUAACUACGUG
rnacentral:rRNA from 1 species